GGGAAAUAUUUUGGCCUCAUUAAUAAAGACUGGUUCGGAUUGCAUUAUGAAAGAAUUCUUGAAUCACUAGUUUAAUUUCAUUUAUUCCCAGGCACAUUUUCCAUGGUCUGCUGAGGAGUAAUCAUACUCCAGAAAGCUUUAAAAAAAGAAGACUAAGAAAUAGAUAGAAGAGGAUUGGGAUGCCACCUCCGUGGAAUCGGCCAUCCUGGAAGAAUGUUCUGGUGCCAGUGACAGCUCGUUCCAAUCACCAGCGGGGGCAACAGCCUCCUCAGGAAAGGUGCCCUUUUGUGUGGAGCGAGGAGGAUACACCCAGGAGAACCGAGCUCUCAGUUCCGAAGGAGUCACCAGGACCCCUUGCUUUUCAAACCAGCCCUCCCAGCAGUGCGAUGUCUCUGGAAAGAUACACAGACACCGAUCCGUAAAUACUCGCAGAAUGCCCAGUAGGAGUGCAGACUGGAAGAUCGGCUGUCUUUUGAACUGGAGACAUCACAGGAAACUGGGGAGGCUCCAAAUUGCUAACCUGAGGCCGGAGCAAAAACUUUUUCUCGUGGAAGGGACUGCUUCUUUUUUUUUUUUUUUCCUCCCCUUCAUCGAAUGGCAUCCCCAGUCCUGCCGGAUUGCAACUGUCUUUGUUCCCUCAGCCAAGCCUUAUAGCUGGCUCACACUCUGC
rnacentral:lncRNA from 1 species